GUCAGGAUGGCCGAGCGGUCAAAGGCGCCAGACUCAAGUUUCCAAACUUGCUCUGCUAAUGCGCCGCCAAAGGGCGUUCUGGUCCACUGAUGUGGGCGUGGGUUCGGGUUCAAAUCCCACUCCUAACA